rnacentral:rRNA from 1 species
UACAGGGGGUGCUAGCGUUGUUCGGAAUUACUGGGCGUAAAGGGCGCGUAGGUGGCUGUACCAGUCAGGAGUGAAAUCCCGGAGCUUAACUCCGGAAUUGCUUUUGAAACUGUACAGCUAGAGUGUAUUAGAGGAUGGCGGAAUUCCUAGUGUAGAAGUGAAAUUCGUAGAUAUUAGGAAGAACACCGGUGGCGAAGGCGGCCAUCUGGGAUACAACUGACACUGAGGCGCGAAAGCUAGGGGAGCAAACAGG